GAACGCAGCGAAAUGCGAUAAGUAAUGUGAAUUGCAGAAUUCAGUGAAUCAUCGAAUCUUUGAACGCACCUUGCGCUCCAUGGUAUUCCGUGGAGCAUGCCUGUUUGAGUGUCAUGAAUACUUCAACCCUCCUCUUUCUUAAUGAUUGAAGAGGUGUUUGGUUUCUGAGCGCUGCUGGCCUUUACGGUCUAGCUCGUUCGUAAUGCAUUAGCAUCCGCAAUCGAACUUCGGAUUGACUUGGCGUAAUAGACUAUUCGCUGAGGAAUUCUAGUCUUCGGAUUAGAGCCGGGUUGGGUUAAAGGAAGCUUCUAAUCAGAAUGUCUACAUUUUAAGAUUAGAUCUCAAAUCAGGUAGGACUACCCGCUGAACUUAAGCAUAUCAAUAAGCGGAGGAA
rnacentral:rRNA from 1 species